UGCUAGAAACGAAACAACAACAAGGAAUUAUAACCCAGUGCAUAUAGAUAGAAAUUGAUAAUGAUAAACAUGAAGAUUUGUCUUAUAUGGUUAUUUCUCCAAGACCAAUCAAAACUCGCCGAUUCAAUCAUCACAGUUCACACAACGGAAGGGUCAACGGUAAAUCUGGCAUUCAAAAUCAUUAACUCAGAGAUAGAUGUCCGUUUCAACGAAAGAUAUAUAUACUGUUAUGCAGACCAUAAAAAGGUUAUCACCAACAAAUACGACAUGAUAGUACGUCCGAAUAUUUUAGAAAUUCAGAAAACAAAUGUAACAACAAAUGACACAGGGAUUUACUGGUUAGACGAUCAAGGUCUAUCAGCUGCAUUAAAGCUAAACA